UGUCUGUUUCCCAUGAUGUAGAAGAUAAAGCCUGCUUAGAGUGAAAUAUAUUAAUAACAUAUUUUACUAUCACUGUUCUUUGGGAUCAAAUAAUAUUAAUCAGUGCAUAACCAAGUCCCAUGGAAAAAAGAAUAAUUAGGGUGCACCGAGCACUAUUGUUCAUUCUGGAUCAGUCUGAGGUUGAUCUUCUUUGCUUGGAAUAUCCAGAGUGCUUGAUGGGACAUCUUUUUUAUCUGCUUGCAUGAAUCUACAUCUGGUUCUCCUCGGUCAGAACGGCUCUUCUGGUGAUGGCAACAACGGUUGUCAGAGGGCUGUAUGGUGGAUCAAAGGUUCCGGAUUUGAAGAGGGAUUUCACCAAGACUUUGUCUCCAGGCCUGAAAGGAUGUGUGGUGGUACCUGAAGGAUGAGGAAGAGAUAGAGACAAAUCACCAUAGAUGCCAUUCAUUUUGUCUACAAGGUUCAAUACAUAUAACACAACAUUUAGGUCUCCGCUCACCAUCGG
rnacentral:lncRNA from 1 species